CCCUUAGAUGUUCUGGGCGGCCCGCGCACUACAAUGGCGUGUGCAGCGAGUGCUGAAGUAGAGUUUUCCGAGGUAUUCUUGCAAUGCUCGUUUUGAUGGGGAUAGACCCUUGCAACUGUUGGUUUUGAACGAGGAAUUCCUUGUAAGCAUGGUUUAUCAUCCGACGCUGAAUGCGUCCCUGCCCUUUGUACACACCGCCCGUCGCUCCUACCGAUGAGUCGUCCGGUGAAGUUCGUAGACCUCGUGAUCGCGGAUCACUGGGGGAAGCAAAAUGAACCUCGCGGUUUAGAGGAAGGAGAAGUCGUAACA
rnacentral:rRNA from 1 species